UGAUGGAUUGUAUUAUGGUCUGCUAACAUAAUUAGAAUUGAAUCAUACCCGUAACUUAUUCAUUAAUAUCUGUGGUUUUCCAUCAAACUCCUGAUGGGUGUAUCGUGUACCUUGCUGGUACUCUUGUUUUUGUUUUUUUUACAAACAUUAAAUAUUACACAUUUUCUCAUUUCUUUUUUCAGGUUAUUGUACAUCUUCAAAAUGUGCAACUGAAUACAUACUGGUAUCCUUUUUAAUUACAAAUAUAUACAGAGUGAUAUAAAUUUUGUUCAACACUUUUAAAUUUAACUAUGGCAGAAAGAAAAUUAGCAAAAUUUAUUGCAGAACAUCAGGUUAAUAUUCCUUCAGUAGAUCCCAGCUGUUUUGCUGUUUUAUUAGCUGACAGCAGGGGAAUAUAUUUGAAAAAUGCACAUAAGGAAUUGCAAUUGCCUGUAGUGUUCCUUUGUGAAAAAGGUGCUCGUACAGCAGUACUUUUUAAUAUUUUGAAAAGCAGGUUGCCUAAAUUAAUUAAAGAGCAUGGCAAACCACCUGUUGUGUAUGUCUGGUCGGGUACCUGCGACAUUACCAAAAUCUUUUCUAAGGAAAGAUACAUUACAUUGAGAGAUGAAACCUCUCAAACAGUACAAGACAUUGUCAGCAUUUACAAGCAGUUAAUGGCCUUUGUCUUAAAUGUGGGUGGGAAAGUUAGGUUUGUCGGUACGACAUUCCACUCAGCUGUUGACUGGAAUGCAUCGAAAGUUAAUUUUUAAUCAUGGAUAGUACAUUUUUAAAAUCACUGAUCCAUGGCUAAGGGAUUUUUUUUUACAACAUUCUAGAAGCCCUGAGUAUAUGUGAACAACAGUUUCACUAAUUGUUGUAUGGAUAAUUAAAUAAUUAAUUAUUAAAUGUAAUGGUUGAAAAUCUAGCUGGGUUACAGCGACCCCAAGAUGAUUGACCACAUUUUAUAAGUCAUUGGGAAUCUGGGUUUAACUACUUUCAGUUAAUACAUUAUCUUUCUGUCAGUCAAGGUGGCACUAGAAGAAGCGUCUUUCUUCUUGAAUGCAAAAUAAAACUUAGUAGUUAGAAAAACCUUUUUGUUCUCAUACCCUGACUGAUGACCAGUUAUGGUUUCAUGUAUAAAAAAUUACAUGAAAG